AGGGUUUGAUCCUGGCUCAGAACGUACGCUGGCGGCACGCCUAACACAUGCAAGUCGAACGAAGUAGCAAUACUUAGUGGCAGACGGGUGAGUAACAUGUAGGUAUCUACCCUUUGGCCUGGAAUAACACGAGGAAACUUGUGCUAAUACCGGAUAAGUCUUUACGGAGAAAGCUUUAUGCACCAUUGGAUGAGCCUGCACUUGAUUAGUUUGUUGGUGGGGUAAUGGCCUACCAAGACUGUGAUCAAUAGCUGAUUUGAGAGGAUGAUCAGCCACAUUGGGACUGAGACACGGCCCAAACUCCUACGGGAGGCAGCAGUGGGGAAUCUUGCACAAUGGAGGAAACUCUGAUGCAGCGAUGCCGCGUGAGUGAAGAAGGCCUUUGGGUUGUAAAGCUCUUUCGUCGGGGAAGAAAAUGACUGUACCCGAAUAAGAAGGUCCGGCUAACUUCGUGCCAGCAGCCGCGGUAAUACGAAGGGACCUAGCGUAGUUCGGAAUUACUGGGCUUAAAGAGUUCGUAGGUGGUUGAAAAAGUUGGUGGUGAAAUCCCAGAGCUUAACUCUGGAACUGCCAUCAAAACUUUUCAGCUAGAGUAUGAUAGAGGAAAGCAGAAUUUCUAGUGUAGAGGUGAAAUUCGUAGAUAUUAGAAAGAAUACCAAUUGCGAAGGCAGCUUUCUGGAUCAUUACUGACACUGAGGAACGAAAGCAUGGGUAGCGAAGAGGAUUAGAUACCCUCGUAGUCCAUGCCGUAAACGAUGUGUGUUAGACGUUGGAAAUUUAUUUUCAGUGUCGCAGCGAAAGCGAUAAACACACCGCCUGGGGAGUACGACCGCAAGGUUAAAACUCAAAUGAAUUGACGGGGACCCGCACAAGUAGUGGAGCAUGUGGUUUAAUUCGAAGAUACGCGCAGAACCUUACCAACACUUGACAUGUUCGUCGCGACUUUAAGAGAUUAAAGUUUUCGGUUCGGCCGGACGAAACACAGGUGCUGCAUGGCUGUCGUCAGCUCGUGUCGUGAGAUGUUGGGUUAAGUCCCGCAACGAGCGCAACCCUCACUUUUAGUUGCCAUCAUUAAGUUGGGCACUCUGAAAGAACUGCCAGUGAUAAGCUGGAGGAAGGUGGGGAUGACGUCAAGUCCUCAUGGCCCUUACGUGUUGGGCUACACACGUGCUACAA
rnacentral:rRNA from 1 species